UGAAGAUUGUUGGCUUCAUAAAACCACCUUCAUGAUCACGAUGACGAUCAUAAUCCAGAGUGCGGUUCCACACAGAGGUGAAAUAAAACAGGACACUUUUAGGUCUAACGGUUCAGACUUAACUGCGUACGACCUAACUGCUUUCAGCAAAUAUUGUUUUCUAACAUAUUUGAAUAAACGGUGAUAUAUUAUCAUAGAUUUAAGUAAUCUACCUGUCAAUCUCUAGAUUCAUGCAUUAUUAUUAUUUUACUGAUGUGAUCCUGAACCAAUCGUUCAAAAUACGUUCUUUGGAGAAUUACAGCACUUUCAUUCCGUCUUCCUUUUAUUUUGAAAGUACUUAAUGGAAGUCCCUCCCGCCGCUCUCCGCGCUCCCGCGUUGUUUUGGGAACGCUCGGUAUCCAGAUGAGCGCGCGCUUCCCGAACUCUAAUCGCUCGGGCUGACAUCACGCGGAGGAUUUGCUACAAUGUCAAACAUCCACAGGCUGCGCGAGCUCAUGGCUUCCCCGCGCCACAAUGAGAAGCGUCGCCGCGUGCAGCUGCUCGUCCUCUGAACGCACAGCUCCGUUCACCUUCGCUGGGUUUAAUCCAUGGUCCCGGACGGGAUGCGUUUGAGGUUCGAGUGAGCGCGAGAGCCAGGUCAGAGGUCAGAGGUCAGAGGUCAUGCUGCGGAGGGACUCGCACUCCCACGGCCUCUUCUCCUCCGGCGAGACGUCCGACAAUGACUGUGAGAUGGGGGCGAGCUGUGGAGAGGUAGAUGUAGUGUGUCUGUGCGAGGCCGGUCCCUGUACACUUUAUUCAGAAGCACAUACGCCUACGCCGGGCACGCUGCUGUGCGAACACUGUGGAAGAAACAGAGUAUUAUUGAACAGGUACUCCGAGGGAUACGGCACAGAGGAAGAGUGUGUGAUGUCUGACCCACAGGGCGAGAGCGAUGCAGAUGCUGACAUAGAGGAUACAGAUUGCAGACUCCAGGAGCCCGGUUCCCUCCAGCGAAUCAGCUCGCGGAGACGCAAGCGUCCGCGAGUAGCUCGCCAAGACACCACUGAGAGCGAGGACGACGGCGGACGCAGCAACAGGACUCAUCGCUGGAACCUGAGGCUCAGUCCUGACAGGACACACAGCAGGAUCAUACUGGAGGAGAGCAUAUCACAGGUCCGGCCACUGGUCAUUUGCCGGCCAAGCGUGAAGAGUCCAGCUGAGCAGGCCAGAGGUUCCAAACGGACGUCUCUGUGGCCGCCAUCCUUCUCUCUUCCGCUCCUCCUCCUCCUCUCGCUGCCUCUCUCCCUGUCCCUCAUCAUCGUUAUGGUUUCUUUCUUCCUACCAUGGGCCAGCGCCUGAGAUUAUCAUUCCGAAAAAGAAACCAGAGGGAAGCACAAUAACAGAAGCAGCAACGUGAGGUUUUGGCUCCAUUAAAUCCAAUACGACACAGAUUGACACAGGUUAAACAAAUCCUACAUUCACAAUGGACCCGCAGUGAAAGCAACGUGCACUCAGUGCUUUCCGCUGCCUCAGAAAACCUCACUUUCUGUCUCGCGUCCUCACCCCCUCAAUUGUAAAAAUAGACCUCUCUCGUCUCGUUCCACGUUCUAAUGAGCGACAGGUGUGGGAAGGGUUUCAGGGCUGCGCAGGUACUUUCAAUCAGGAACAUAGCAGGCUCGGUGAACACAAACAAUAAAAAACACGAUGCUGCUGAACUAUGCA
rnacentral:lncRNA from 1 species